AGGGAACAGAAACCCCAGUUAGGGUUUGUAUUCCCGCUCCACUAAGCUCACACUGUUAACGACUCUCUCUGCUGUGUACACCGUUCUUUUGCCAUCGACUGUGUGAAUGUUACAUUGAAACCAAAACCCUAAACAAAUUCCACAGCCAUGUAUCUCUAUAGUCUCACUCUGCAGCGACCCACAGGCAUUGUUUGCGCCAUCAACGGCAACUUCUCCGGCGGCAAGAGCCAAGAAAUCGUGGUGGCCAGAGGCAAGGUUCUCGAUCUUCUUCGCCCUGACGACAACGGUAGGAUUCAAACCAUUCUCUCCGUUGAAAUUUUCGGCGCAAUUAGGUCUCUAGCUCAGUUUAGGUUUCACGGAGCACAUAAGGACUACAUCGUGGUGGGUUCAGAUUCCGGUAGAAUCGUAAUUCUUGAAUACAAUAAGGAGAAAAAUGUUUUCGAUAAAACUCACCAAGAAACCUUCGGGAAAUCCGGUUGCCGCCGAAUUGUCCCGGGUCAGUAUUUGGCCAUAGAUCCCAAGGGUAGGGCUGUUAUGAUUGGGGCUUGUGAGAAGCAAAAGCUUGUUUAUGUUUUGAAUAGGGAUACUGCUGCUAGGUUAACCAUUUCUUCCCCUUUAGAGGCUCAUAAAUCACACACUUUGGUCUAUUCCAUUUGUGGUGUUGACUGUGGCUUUGAGAACCCUAUUUUUGCUGCUAUUGAGUUGGAUUACUCCGAGGCCGAUCAAGAUUCCACUGGCCAGGCUGCUUCUGAAGCCCAGAAGCAUUUGACGUUUUAUGAGCUUGAUCUUGGCCUUAACCAUGUUUCUAGGAAGUGGUCUGAGCAGGUUGAUAAUGGUGCCAAUUUGCUUGUUACUGUUCCUGGAGGCGUUGAUGGCCCCAGUGGUGUUCUUGUUUGUGCCGAAAAUUUUGUUAUUUAUAAGAAUCAGGGUCAUCAGGAUGUUAGGGCUGUGAUUCCUCGGCGUGCUGACUUGCCUGCUGAGCGUGGUGUGCUUAUUGUUUCUGCUGCCAUGCAUAAACUGAAGAAUAUGUUCUUCUUCCUUCUGCAGACAGAGUAUGGAGAUAUUUUUAAGGUCACCUUGGCCCAUAAUGACAACCGUGUCUCGGAAUUGAAGAUUAAGUAUUUUGAUACUAUUCCCGUAACGGCUUCAAUGUGUGUGCUGAAGUCGGGAUUCUUGUUUGCGGCAUCAGAGUUUGGGAAUCAUGCUCUGUAUCAGUUUAAGGCAAUUGGGGAUGAUGAUGAUGUGGAGGCAUCGUCUGCUACGCUGAUGGAGACCGAAGAAGGUUUUCAGCCAGUGUUUUUCCAGCCCAGAAGACUGAAAAACCUUGUUAGGAUUGACCAGGUUGAGAGUUUAAUGCCAAUAAUGGAUAUGAAGGUCAGUAAUCUUUUUGAAGAGGAAACUCCUCAAAUUUUUACUCUUUGCGGGCGUGGUCCUAGGUCAUCUUUGAGGAUCCUGAGAACUGGUUUAGCAGUUAGUGAGAUGGCAGUAUCCAAGCUUCCUGGCAUACCUAGUGCUGUUUGGACAGUGAAAAAGAAUGUUAUUGAUGAGUUUGAUGCUUACAUUGUUGUGUCAUUCACAAAUGCUACUCUUGUGCUUUCCAUUGGUGAGACCGUUGAAGAAGUCAGUGACAGUGGGUUUCUAGAUACUACUCCCUCCCUUGCUGUUUCUUUGAUUGGAGAUGAUUCUCUCAUGCAGGUUCACCCAAAUGGUAUUAGGCAUAUUAGGGAGGAUGGCCGUAUUAAUGAAUGGAGAACACCUGGAAAGAGGACUAUUUCAAAAGUUGGAUCAAAUAGACUUCAGGUGGUUAUUGCACUGAGUGGAGGGGAGCUUAUAUAUUUUGAAGUGGAUGUAACUGGUCAGUUGAUGGAGGUGGAGAAGCAUGAAAUGUCUGGAGAUGUUGCUUGUUUGGACAUUGCUCCAGUACCUGAAGGCAGACAAAGAUCUCGUUUUCUUGCAGUUGGCUCAUAUGACAAGACCAUUCGCAUCUUAUCACUGGAUCCUGAUGAUUGUAUGCAGGCUCUAAGUGUACAAAGUGUUUCUUCAGCUCCAGAAUCUCUUCUUUUUCUUGAAGUUCAAGCAUCUGUUGGUGGUGAGGAUGGUGCAGAUCAUCCUGCUAGCCUUUUCUUGAAUGCUGGCUUACAGAAUGGUGUCUUGUUUAGAACUGUGGUGGAUAUGGUUACAGGUCAGCUUUCUGAUUCCCGUUCCAGGUUCUUAGGAUUGAGAGCCCCAAAGCUGUUUCCCAUUAUUGUGAGAGGCAAGCGUGCUAUGCUAUGCUUGUCAAGUCGACCUUGGCUUGGUUAUAUUCACCAAGGACAUUUCCUUUUAACACCCCUUUCAUAUGAAACCCUUGAAUAUGCUGCCUCAUUUUCGUCUGACCAAUGUGUGGAAGGUAUAGUUGCUGUUGCUGGUGAGGCCUUGAGGAUUUUUACUAUAGAAAGAUUAGGAGAGACAUUUAAUGAAACUGUAAUUCCGUUAAGGUACACACCAAGGAAAUUUGUGCUGCAACCCAAACGAAAACUUCUCGUGAUGAUUGAGAGUGAUCAGGGAGCAUUGACUGCAGAAGAACGUGAAGCUGCAAGAAAAGAGUGUUUUGAGGCUGCUCAGGCUGGGGAAAAUGGUACUGGAAGUGCGGACCAAAUGGAGAAUGGUGGUGAGGAUGAAGAUAAAGAUGAUCCACUUUCUGAUGAGCAUUAUGGUUAUCCAAAAGCUGAAUCGGAUAAGUGGGUUUCCUGCAUCAGGGUUCUCGAUCCAAGGACAGGAAAUACAACUUGUCUUUUGGAGCUACAAGAGAAUGAGGCUGCUUUCAGCAUAUGCACAGUAAAUUUCCAUGAUAAGGAAUACGGAACUCUUUUAGCUGUUGGAACAGCAAAGGGACUGCAAUUUUUGCCCAAAAGGAGUUUAACUGCUGGUUUUAUUCAUAUAUAUAGGUUUGUAGAGGAUGGAAGAUCCCUCGAACUUCUUCACAAAACUCAGGUUGAAGGCGUUCCUGUUGCUCUAUGUCAGUUUCAAGGAAGAUUACUUGCAGGAAUAGGACCUGUGCUCAGGCUGUAUGAUUUGGGAAAAAGACGAUUGUUAAGAAAAUGUGAGAAUAAGCUGUUCCCCAACACAAUUGUCUCUAUUCAAGCAUACCGUGAUCGAAUUUAUGUUGGUGAUGUCCAAGAGGUGGCUUACUGCAUCUUACCACAUAGAUUUUGACACUAUGGCUGGUGCCGACAAGUUUGGCAAUAUCUAUUUUGUGCGGUUGCCACAGGAUGUUUCAGAUGAGAUAGAAGAAGAUCCUACCGGUGGGAGGAUCAAGUGGGAACAGGGAAAGCUGAAUGGAGCUCCCAAUAAGGUGGAAGAAAUUGUACAAUUUCACGUUGGUGAUGUGGUCACAUGCUUGCAAAAGGCUUCUCUCAUACCAGGUAGUGGAGAGUGCAUUGUAUACGGAACAGUUAUGGGAAGUGUUGGGGCAUUACACGCCUUUACUUCACGAGACGAUGUUGAUUUCUUUUCUCAUUUGGAGAUGCAUAUGAGGCAGGAUCAUCCACCUUUGUGUGGAAGAGAUCACAUGGCCUACAGAUCUGCCUAUUUUCCUGUUAAGGAUGUUAUUGAUGGGGAUCUAUGCGAGCAAUUCCCAACAUUGCCCAUGGAUUUGCAGAGAAAAAUUGCUGAUGAAUUGGACAGAACCCCUGGAGAGAUACUGAAGAAACUAGAGGAAGUGCGAAAUAAGAUUAUUUAAGAAAUGAUGGUCAUGGUCUGAAAGGUCAUUGCGGAAAUGUGUUUUUCUAGGAGGUCGUUUGCUGGCAGUUAGGUUACUACUAACAAAGUGAAGUAAGCUUGUGUAUCUCCUUCAUACGGGAACGGUGAUUUCUUGUCCUAUUUUAAUGCAAGCGGAUGAGGAACUGUACUCUAUUGUUGAAAUGAAACCCAUAUGUUGUAAUUAAUCGUAGUUGACUGUUAUCACUCUUUGUGGAUGUGAUGACGCUUCCCAUAUCUCUCUAUCUUCCAUCUCAGCACCCUUCCCUAUUACUCAAUCAGACGUUGGUUUAACUUUAUAUUAAAUUUAUUGUCCGGAAUAUCACCACUUCACCAUUUCAAAGAAGAGUAGGUGCUGCUGAUUGCGUUGGGUCACGUAUCAUCAACAUUAUGCAUGAAAAAAAGAUGUUUGGUAGAGAAAUAUAUAUUUUAUUGUGU